AAGUGUACACGAGUAUGUGGAGCUCAAUGUAUGAAUAUAAUACCAAAAGUGGUCUAUUGUAAAAGUACUUAUUUUUAACUGGAAUGUACGUGAACUGUUUACAAUAGAUCGUUUCACCGAAUACUUGUCCAUUCAAUUGGGCAGAAAAUAAUUAAUGUCGUUGGAACGACAAACUUAGUUGAUAAAAGAUUGCGUUUGAGUAUUUUCGAAAAUUAAUUUCAAUAUAUAGUAAUUGUUUUUCCACUUCGAAUUAAUAAAUUGUGAAUUUUCAUUCGGCUAAAAUGCAAAAAACAGAGAAGACUCUCAAUUUGCCACAAAUUGCAUAUUUCGUUGGUGCUUUUCUUCUGUAUUGUCUAAUUAUAACAUGCAUAAUUGCGUGUUUGGGCCGUAAGAUGCAUUCAGAACAUUUCAAUGUGUAUAGAUUUCAACAAACACAAAUGAAGAAAAACCAAAAGUGCUUUGAAUUGCCGGAAAAAAGUGAAAAGUUACAGAUUCUUGAUGAUGUACUAAAAUCAAGACCGCCGAGCGACACAACUGUAUUCUUCCAUCAUACAUCAUGUGCAGAAAAUGGUUAUAUUCGCUAUGCGUUUAGACAAGCAUGUGGGAUUGAAUCAGCUGCGAAAUGGAAUCCAAAGCGUGAUGUUUUAAUUUUGCAUGCAGCAAAGGGCGGAUCUUCACUCAAUAACACGAUGAUGAACGCCUUGAAAUCAUAUGCAAACAUUCAUUUUCGAGAUGUGGAUUUGUCCAAUUACGCUGGCGCCCACCUAUCAGAUCUUUUGCGAUUCAUUACGGUCUACAGAUUUGGAGGCAUCCAUUUUGAUAUGGGUUUUAUUUUUCAAAGAAAUUUAGAUGAUUUUCCACCCAAUUUUGCAGUUGUUGACAGCGAAUUAAUGACUAAAACAGUUCUGGGAAUCGAUUCCAACUUCACUGGUCGUAAGCUUGCUGAAGAGUUUUAAAGAGAAUAUACACAGAAUUAUCAACCAUUUCAACCGAAUGAACCAGAUGCAAUUACACCGGUUUUAAAAAGAAUAUGCAAAGAAGAAGAGCUCCACACUAUGAAACGGUAUUCAAUGAAACCGGAGAAAUGUUUAGGCCUUAAACUCUAUCCAACCAAAGCUUUCUUCCCGAUUAGUGAGUCGAAUUGGAGUGAUCUCUUUACCACCGAUCCAAAGAUUGUUAACAAAACAAUGGAAGAUGUGAAGGAUGCAACUGCCAUUUAUGUUUGGAAGCAUAUGUUAGUUACAAAGAAUAUAAAUUCUGGAUCAAUGUCUGCUUAUGAAAAAUUAGCUGAAAUGAACUGCCCAAAAGUGUUUGCUACUAUACCAUUAGGUGCAGUCUUCUGAAGCCUUUUAACCAUAUCGCAAAAAGAUGAAUGUAAGCUUAGAAUAUGAAACUAAAGGCUGUUUGAACUGAAUGAUGUAUAAAUUGAAUAUUAUAUCCAUUUUUGCGAGUGUUGAAAUCAAACGAGUAUUGAAAUAUAAUAAAUAUUUUGAACUGA